AGCGAACGCUGGCGGCAGGCUUAACACAUGCAAGUCGAGCGGGCGUAGCAAUACGUCAGCGGCAGACGGGUGAGUAACACGUGGGGACGUACCUUUUGGUUCGGAACAACACAGGGAAACUUGUGCUAAUACCGAAUAAGCCCUUACGGGGAAAGAUUUAUCGCCGAAAGAUCGGCCCGCGUCUGAUUAGCUUGUUGGUGAGGUAACGGCUCACCAAGGCGACGAUCAGUAGCUGGUCGAGAGGAUGAUCAGCCACACUGGGACUGAGACACGGCCCAGACUCCUACGGGAGGCAGCAGUGGGGAAUAUUGGACAAUGGGGCAACCCUGAUCCAGCCAUGCCGCGUGAGUGAUGAAGGCCCUAGGGUUGUAAAGCUCUUUUGUGCGGGAAGAUAAUGACGGUACCGCAAGAAUAAGCCCCGGCUAACUUCGUGCCAGCAGCCGCAGUAAC
rnacentral:rRNA from 1 species